GGGAUGACACGGUACUUAACACAUGCAAGUCGAGCGGUAGCACAGGGGAGCUUGCUCCCUGGGUGACGAGCGGCGGACGGGUGAGUAAUGUCUGGGAAACUGCCUGAUGGAGGGGGAUAACUACUGGAAACGGUAGCUAAUACCGCAUAACGUCGCAAGACCAAAGAGGGGGACCUUCGGGCCUCUUGCCAUCAGAUGUGCCCAGAUGGGAUUAGCUAGUAGGUGGGGUAAUGGCUCACCUAGGCGACGAUCCCUAGCUGGUCUGAGAGGAUGACCAGCCACACUGGAACUGAGACACGGUCCAGACUCCUACGGGAGGCAGCAGUGGGGAAUAUUGCACAAUGGGCGCAAGCCUGAUGCAGCCAUGCCGCGUGUGUGAAGAAGGCCUUCGGGUUGUAAAGCACUUUCAGCGAGGAGGAAGGUGGUGAACUUAAUACGCUCAUCAAUUGACGUUACUCGCAGAAGAAGCACCGGCUAACUCCGUGCCAGCAGCCGCGGUAAUACGGAGGGUGCAAGCGUUAAUCGGAAUUACUGGGCGUAAAGCGCACGCAGGCGGUUUGUUAAGUCAGAUGUGAAAUCCCCGGGCUCAACCUGGGAACUGCAUUUGAAACUGGCAAGCUAGAGUCUCGUAGAGGGGGUUAGAAUUCCAUGUGUUACUUUGAAAUGCUUAGAGAUCUGGAUGAAUACCGGUGGCGAAUGUCGUCUCCUGGACUAACACUUGACCCUCAUGUGCUAUAGCGUGUUGAUCAAACC
rnacentral:rRNA from 1 species